UACAGGGGGGGCAAGCGUUGUUCGGAAUUACUGGGCGUAAAGGGCGCGUAGGCGGCCUUCUAAGUCGAACGUGAAAUCCCCGGGCUCAACCCGGGAACUGCGUCCGAUACUGGAAGGCUUGAAUUCGGGAGAGGGACGCGGAAUUCCAGGUGUAGCGGUGAAAUGCGUAGAUAUCUGGAGGAACACCGGUGGCGAAGGCGGCAUCCUGGACCGGCAUUGACGCUGAGGCGCGAAAGCCAGGGGAGCAAAGCGGG
rnacentral:rRNA from 1 species